rnacentral:rRNA from 1 species
AAAUGAAUAGACGGGGGCUCGCACAAGCGGUGGAACAUGGGGUUUAAUUCGACAAUAAGCGGAGAACCUCACCAAGGUUUGACAUCUACGGAAUCUCGCGUAAUGGCGAGAGUGCCCUUCGGGGAGCCGUAAGACAGGUGCUGCACGGUCGUCGUCAGCUCGUGGCAUGAGUUGUUCCGUUAAGUCGGGAAACGAGCGCAACCCCUAUCGUCUGUUAAAUUUCUCAGACGAGACUGCCCUCGCAAGAGGGAGGAAGGUGGGGAUGACGUCAGAUCAGCGUGGCCUUUAUACCUUGGGCUACACCCGUGUUACAAUGGCUGGUACAGUGGGUUGCAAUAUCGCGAGAUGGAGCUAAUCCCCAAAACCAGUCCAAGUUCGGAUUGGAGUCUGCAAUUCGACUCCAUGAAGUUGGAAUCGCUAGUAACCGUGGAUCAGAACGCCACGGUGAAUACGUUCUCGAGCCUUGCACACACCGCCCGU